rnacentral:rRNA from 1 species
GGCUACCGCUAUUGGAGUUCGAUUAAGCCAUGCGAGUCUAGAGGCCUAGCCUCGGCGUACCGCUCAGUAACACGUGGGUAACCUACCCUAUGCUAGGGGAUAAGCUCGGGAAACUGAGAAUAAUACCCCAUAGUCCACUACGCCUGGAACGGUGAGUGGAUCAAAGCUCCGGCGGCAUAGGAUGGGCCUGCGGCGUAUCAGGUUGUAGGGGGUGUAACGUACCCUCUAGCCAUCCACACGUACGGGUGUUGGGAGACAUUGCCCGGAGAUGGAUUCUGAGACACGAAUCCAGACCCUACGGGGUGCAGCAGGCGCGAAAACUUGGCAAUGCGAGAAAUCGUGACCAGGGAACUCCAAGUGGCAGGGGUAAGACCCUGUCUUUUUCCGACUCUAAAUAGGUCGGCGAAUAAGGGGUGGGUAAGGACGGUGCCAGCCGCCGCGGUAAUACCGGCGCCUCAAGUGGUAGUCGCUUUUAUUGGGCCUAAAACGUCCGUAGCCGGUCUGGUACAUUCGUGGGUAAAUCAACUCGCUUAACGAGUUGAAUUCUGCGAGGACGGCCAGACUUGGGACCGGGAGAGGUGUGGGUACUCUCAGGGUAGGGGUAAAAUCCUGUCAUCCUGAGAGGACCACCUGUUGCGAAGGCUCCACACUAGAACGGAUCCGACGGUCAGGGACGAAGCCUAGGGGCACGAACCGGAUUAGAUACCCGGGUAGUCCUAGGUGUAAACGCUGUGGACUUGAUGUUGGGGACGCUCCGAGCGUUCUCAGUGUCGAAGCGAAGGUGAUAAGUCCACUGCCUGGGGAGUACGGUCGCAAGGCUGAAACUUAAAGGAAUUGGCGGGGGAGCACCGCAACCUGAGGAUUGUGCGGUUU